rnacentral:rRNA from 1 species
UGGGGAAUAUUGGACAAUGGGCGAAAGCCUGAUCCAGCCAUGCCGCGUGUGUGAAGAAGGUCUUCGGAUUGUAAAGCACUUUAAGUUGGGAGGAAGGGCAGUAAGCUAAUACCUUGCUGUUUUGACGUUACCGACAGAAUAAGCACCGGCUAACUCUGUGCCAGCAGCCGCGGUAAUACAGAGGGUGCAAGCGUUAAUCGGAAUUACUGGGCGUAAAGCGCGCGUAGGUGGUUUGUUAAGUUGGAUGUGAAAGCCCCGGGCUCAACCUGGGAACUGCAUCCAAAACUGGCAAGCUAGAGUACGGAAGAGGGUGGUGGAAUUUCCUGUGUAGCGGUGAAAUGCGUAGAUAUAGGAAGGGACACCAGUGGCGAAGGCGACCACCUGGACUGAUACUGACACUGAGGUGCGAAAGCGUGGGGAGCAAACA